CUGUAAGCCUGUGAAGGUGGCCUGUGAGGGUUGCUGGAGGUAUCAGAAGUGCGAAUGCUGACAUAAGUAACGAUAAAGCGGGUGAAAAGCCCGCUCGCCGGAAGACCAAGGGUUCCUGUCCAACGUUAAUCGGGGCAGGGUGAGUCGACCCCUAAGGCGAGGCCGAAAGGCGUAGUCGAUGGGAAACAGGUUAAUAUUCCUGUACUUGGUGUUACUGCGAAGGGGGGACGGAGAAGGCUAUGUUGGCCGGGCGACGGUUGUCCCGGUUUAAGCGUGUAGGCUGGUUUUCCAGGCAAAUCCGGAAAACCAAGGCUGAGGCGUGAUGACGAGGCACUACGGUGCUGAAGCGACAAAUGCCCUGCUUCCAGGAAAAGCCUCUAAGCAUCAGGUAACAUCAAAUCGUACCCCAAACCGACACAGGUGGUCAGGUAGAGAAUACCAAGGCGCUUGAGAGAACUCGGGUGAAGGAACUAGGCAAAAUGGUGCCGUAACUUCGGGAGAAGGCACGCUGAUAUGUAGGUGAAGCGACUUGCUCGUGGAGCUGAAAUCAGUCGAAGAUACCAGCUGGCUGCAACUGUUUAUUAAAAACACAGCACUGUGCAAACACGAAAGUGGACGUAUACGGUGUGACGCCUGCCCGGUGCCGGAAGGUUAAUUGAUGGGGUUAGCGGCAACGCGAAGCUCUUGAUCGAAGCCCCGGUAAACGGCGGCCGUAACUAUAACGGUCCUAAGGUAGCGAAAUUCCUUGUCGGGUAAGUUCCGACCUGCACGAAUGGCGUAAUGAUGGCCAGGCUGUCUCCACCCGAGACUCAGUGAAAUUGAACUCGCUGUGAAGAUGCAGUGUACCCGCGGCAAGACGGAAAGACCCCGUGAACCUUUACUAUAGCUUGACACUGAACAUUGAGCCUUGAUGUGUAGGAUAGGUGGGAGGCUUUGAAGUGUGGACGCCAGUCUGCAUGGAGCCGACCUUGAAAUACCACCCUUUAAUGUUUGAUGUUCUAACGUUGGCCCGUAAUCCGGGUUGCGGACAGUGUCUGGUGGGUAGUUUGACUGGGGCGGUCUCCUCCUAAAGAGUAACGGAGGAGCACGAAGGUUGGCUAAUCCUGGUCGGACAUCAGGAGGUUAGUGCAAUGGCAUAAGCCAGCUUGACUGCGAGCGUGACGGCGCGAGCAGGUGCGAAAGCAGGUCAUAGUGAUCCGGUGGUUCUGAAUGGAAGGGCCAUCGCUCAACGGAUAAAAGGUACUCCGGGGAUAACAGGCUGAUACCGCCCAAGAGUUCAUAUCGACGGCGGUGUUUGGCACCUCGAUGUCGGCUCAUCACAUCCUGGGGCUGAAGUAGGUCCCAAGGGUAUGGCUGUUCGCCAUUUAAAGUGGUACGCGAGCUGGGUUUAGAACGUCGUGAGACAGUUCGGUCCCUAUCUGCCGUGGGCGCUGGAGAACUGAGGGGGGCUGCUCCUAGUACGAGAGGACCGGAGUGGACGCAUCACUGGUGUUCGGGUUGUCAUGCCAAUGGCACUGCCCGGUAGCUAAAUGCGGAAGAGAUAAGUGCUGAAAGCAUCUAAGCACGAAACUUGC
rnacentral:rRNA from 1 species